GCCGGAGUGGUGGAAUUGGCAUACACGCUCGACUUAAGAUCGAGUGCCGCAAGGCGUGUGGGUUCGAGUCCCACCUCCGGCA
rnacentral:tRNA from 1 species